rnacentral:rRNA from 1 species
GACGAACGCUGGCGGCGUGCCUAAUACAUGCAAGUCGAGCGGAACUGGGGGAGCUUGCUCCUUCCAGUUUAGCGGCGGACGGGUGAGUAACACGUGGGCAACCUGCCCUGCAGAUCGGGAUAACUCCGGGAAACCGGUGCUAAUACCGAAUAGUUUGGCGCCUCUCCUGAGGCGCUACGGAAAGACGGUUUCGGCUGUCACCGCAGGAUGGGCCCGCGGCGCAUUAGCUAGUUGGUGGGGUAACGGCCCACCAAGGCGACGAUGCGUAGCCGACCUGAGAGGGUGACCGGCCACACUGGGACUGAGACACGGCCCAGACUCCUACGGGAGGCAGCAGUAGGGAAUCUUCCGCAAUGGACGCAAGUCUGACGGAGCAACGCCGCGUGAGUGACGAAGGUUUUCGGAUCGUAAAACUCUGUUGUGAGGGAAGAACACGUACCAACUAACUAUUGGUACCUUGACGGUACCUCGCCAGAAAGCCACGGCUAACUACGUGCCAGCAGCCGCCGUAA